GCCCGGAUGGCGGAAUGGUAGACGCGCUGGCUUCAGGUGCCAGUGAUCGCAAGAUCGUGGAGGUUCGACUCCUCUUUCGGGCA
rnacentral:tRNA from 1 species